AAUAGGUUCCUCCCUCAGCAGAUAAAACCAGCCCUGCCAGGACCCUGCAGCUCUGGCAAGGAGCCCAGCCCCAGGAUCCCGUUCUGUGAUCCGGAAAGAACACAGACCACCCGCCAUGGAGUUUCGGCUGAACUGGGUGGUCUUGUUUGCUCUCUUACAAGGUGUCCAGGGUGAGGAGAAGCUGGUGGAGUCUGGAGGAGGCCUGGUGCAGCCUGGGGGGUCUCUGAGACUCUCCUGUGUCGGCUCUGGAAUCACCUUCAGUAGGUAUGCACUGAGCUGGGUCCGCCAGGCUCCAGGGAAGGGGCUGGAGUGGCUGGCAGGUAUUGAUAGUGGUAGUUAUACUGGUAGCACCUACUACGCAGACUCUGUGAAGGGCCGAUUCACCAUCUCCAGAGACGACUCCCAGAACACGGCCUAUCUGCAAAUGAACAGCCUGAGAACAGAAGACACGGCCCGCUAUUACUGUGCAGGAUGCACAGUGAGGGGAAGGGAGCCUGAACACAGACCCCCCACCAUGGAGUCUGGGCUCAGCUGGGCGGUUUGGCGGAUGGACCACACGGAAAUUUCUGGAGAUCAGGAGAUGCUGAAAUGGACCCAGCGUGAGGUGCAGCUGGUGGAGCCUGGGGGAGGCCUGGGGGGCCUCUGGGACUCUCCUGUGCAGCUUGUGGAUGCAGCUUGGGUAGCUCCUACCUGA